ACGAAUUAAGGCUUGUGGAAUUGCCGUCUUAUAAAACUGAAUAUCAGAGUUGACGAUCCUAUCAAUGGAAAGGAAAGAAGCUUGCAUUUCAGCAAUUAGACCUAUCUCGAAAACGGAUAGCUAGAGCAGAAACAAAGUCAACUGAAAGUCGGAAAAGA